UACGAAGGGGGCUAGCGUUGCUCGGAAUCACUGGGCGUAAAGGGUGCGUAGGCGGGUCUUUAAGUCAGGGGUGAAAUCCUGGAGCUCAACUCCAGAACUGCCUUUGAUACUGAGGAUCUUGAGUUCGGGAGAGGUGAGUGGAACUGCGAGUGUAGAGGUGAAAUUCGUAGAUAUUCGGAAGAACACCAGUGGCGAAGGCGGCUCACUGGACCGUUGUUGACGCUGAGGUGCGAAAGCGUGGGGAGCAAACAGG
rnacentral:rRNA from 1 species